UACGAAGGGGGCUAGCGUUGCUCGGAAUCACUGGGCGUAAAGGGCGCGUAGGCGGCGUUUUAAGUCGGGGGUGAAAGCCUGUGGCUCAACCACAGAAUGGCCUUCGAUACUGGGACGCUUGAGUAUGGUAGAGGUUGGUGGAACUGCGAGUGUAGAGGUGAAAUUCGUAGAUAUUCGCAAGAACACCGGUGGCGAAGGCGGCCAAUUGGACCAUUACCUGACGCUGAGGCGCGAAAGCGUGGGGAGCAAACAGG
rnacentral:rRNA from 1 species